UACUGCUACCGCACGGCCAGCCGAAACAAACUUGGUUGACCUGGAGAAUGCGUCCUUUGGACGGAGCAACACAAAAUCAGCGUCUGCUCCUGGUCCAGCGAAAUACGACACGUCCUUCGGCUGCUCGAAAAAACGACCUAGAGAUUGACAAAGCAUUUCAAGUCUAACCAUAUCAUGGGAGAACACCGCACCAAAAGAGAUUUAGAUACUGCAAAUAAACUUGCAAUGUAGUAAAAUUAGAUAUAAUCCUUCUUUUACCUUGAACGGCAGCAAAAUGCAAUAAUAUUGUUUUUUU